GGAUGAACGCUAGCUACAGGCUUAACACAUGCAAGUCGAGGGGCAUCAGGAAGAAAGCUUGCUUUCUUUGCUGGCGACCGGCGCACGGGUGAGUAACACGUAUCCAACCUGCCCUUUACUCGGGGAUAGCCUUUCGAAAGAAAGAUUAAUACCCGAUAGCAUAAUGAUUCCGCAUGGUUUCAUUAUUAAAGGAUUCCGGUAAAGGAUGGGGAUGCGUUCCAUUAGGUUGUUGGUGAGGUAACGGCCCACCAAGCCUUCGAUGGAUAGGGGUUCUGAGAGGAAGGUCCCCCACAUUGGAACUGAGACACGGUCCAAACUCCUACGGGAGGCAGCAGUGAGGAAUAUUGGUCAAUGGGCGCUAGCCUGAACCAGCCAAGUAGCGUGAAGGAUGAAGGCUCUAUGGGUCGUAAACUUCUUUUAUAUAAGAAUAAAGUGCAGUAUGUAUACUGUUUUGUAUGUAUUAUAUGAAUAAGGAUCGGCUAACUCCGUGCCAGCAGCCGCGGUAAUACGGAGGAUCCGAGCGUUAUCCGGAUUUAUUGGGUUUAAAGGGAGCGUAGGUGGACUGGUAAGUCAGUUGUGAAAGUUUGCGGCUCAACCGUAAAAUUGCAGUUGAUACUGUCAGUCUUGAGUACAGUAGAGGUGGGCGGAAUUCGUGGUGUAGCGGUGAAAUGCUUAGAUAUCACGAAGAACUCCGAUUGCGAAGGCAGCUCACUGGACUGCAACUGACACUGAUGCUCGAAAGUGUGGGUAUCAAACAGGAUUAGAUACCCUGGUAGUCCACACAGUAAACGAUGAAUACUCGCUGUUUGCGAUAUACAGUAAGCGGCCAAGCGAAAGCAUUAAGUAUUCCACCUGGGGAGUACGCCGGCAACGGUGAAACUCAAAGGAAUUGACGGGGGCCCGCACAAGCGGAGGAACAUGUGGUUUAAUUCGAUGAUACGCGAGGAACCUUACCCGGGCUUAAAUUGCAGUGGAAUGAUGUGGAAACAUGUCAGUGAGCAAUCACCGCUGUGAAGGUGCUGCAUGGUUGUCGUCAGCUCGUGCCGUGAGGUGUCGGCUUAAGUGCCAUAACGAGCGCAACCCUUAUCUUUAGUUACUAACAGGUUAUGCUGAGGACUCUAGAGAGACUGCCGUCGUAAGAUGUGAGGAAGGUGGGGAUGACGUCAAAUCAGCACGGCCCUUACGUCCGGGGCUACACACGUGUUACAAUGGGGGGUACAGAAGGCAGCUAGCGGGUGACCGUAUGCUAAUCCCAAAAUCCUCUCUCAGUUCGGAUCGAAGUCUGCAACCCGACUUCGUGAAGCUGGAUUCGCUAGUAAUCGCGCAUCAGCCACGGCGCGGUGAAUACGUUCCCGGGCCUUGUACACACCGCCCGUCAAGCCAUGGGAGCCGGGGGUACCUGAAGUACGUAACCGCAAGGAUCGUCCUAGGGUAAAACUGGAAA
rnacentral:rRNA from 1 species